AAAGAUUCAGGCUGCGAAGAAGUUCUCACAUCAGUGUGGGAAUAAAGAAAGAAUCAAGGUGCUGCUCAGGGUAAAGCUAAAGAAGAUCAGAGCUUGUAGGGUGGGAUUGUUUAGAUGGAGUAGAUAGACUCUUGGCAAUCUUGCUCGACAGUAGAAAGAGAACCCGAUUGAAGCAAAGUACCUUGGAUCCUUUCUCUAAGCAGGAAAUCAACAACAUGAAUAAGGAGAUUGAUCAGUUGCUGGCAUCAGAAGAGGUGAUGUGGAAGCAGAG
rnacentral:lncRNA from 1 species